UCAUGCAGGGAGGUGUAAUAAAAAUGCUUGGGCCCAAGCUCCAUAAGGCAAACUGGAUCUAGGUUGACACAACACGCAUCGAGACUAAGCAUCAGCGUAUGAACAAUUGAACAAACUCAUUUCACCAUUUUCACGUGUUCUCAAGCUCUCACGUUCAAACGCAACAAUCAAGAAGAAAACAACUCUGAACCCAAAAUCGAAUUCAUCCACUCAAAUCAAUGCGCAUAAACGAUGAACAAGAAGGAGAAGAAUGACCUACUGAAACGGAGCUCCGACGCGGUGGCUACCGGUGACAACAGAUAUCGAAUCUUUUCUUCCUCCUUGCUUUGCUUCAAUUCACUCUUUCUUCUCCCCUUUCUGUUUACAAAUUUUGUUACGCUUGCGAAGUUGUUGCUUGAAUCGUGGUAAGUUGUUGCGUGAGGGAUUGAGGGAGGUGAAAUCUGAGAGUUCUGAAGAAUCAAUGAGAGUGAAGAGUGCUUCCGAGAAUUGCAUUGAUGCAAGAAUGGUGAUUUGAUUCAUGAUUUGUGAUUUUGUGAUUGCUGCCCUUUGAAUGAGUGGAGAGUGAUAUGUAUUUAUAGAGUUUUGGUUCUCAAGUUCAGUUAGAAAUGCAAAUCCAAAUCCAUCUGAAAUGCACGUCGAGUUAGUUAGAAAUUAGAAAAUCUGUUAUAGUGUUAAUUAGGAUUCUGUGUGUUCAUCUAGGUUAGUUAUUGUGGACUCUCAUUUGUUCUGUUAAACCAAAAUUGCAGGGUAGAUGCGUUAGUUAUGAAGGAACUUCCAACUGACGUCCUGUUGAAGAAAUGUGCAGUGUGAAAUUGUUUUUGCUGGUUUUUCUAUUAAUUGUUUUUGCCUGUUAGAAUCAAUUUGCAAGUGGGAGUCGUUAGUUAUGAAGAGUCUUGUCCAUGCCUUGUUAGAAGGAAUUUUGCAGGUGUUUUGUUUGGCAUAGACACUUGAGGAUUGUGAUAUCAAGGCUUCAAGAUCAAGAUGGUGACUUAAGGACCUUAGGGAGAAAUGGUUGAUUUUGGUCAAUUAGUUGACAAAAAGGUGUACAAUUGACUAAAGUCAAUUGUAGGUUAGAAACUAGAGUUUUCUUAUUGUAUGAUGUAAAUGUAAGGACUUGUAUUUGAUGACUUGAUGAAAUGCAAUGUAAAAGAGGUUUUGAGUGAAUAAUGACUUGGUUUAAAUGAAACAA